rnacentral:rRNA from 1 species
ACAUAUUUUAGAGCCUAAUUUAUUUUAAUUAACAAUUAAAAUUACAUUCAAAUCCAAAUUCAAAAUCUUUGUGCAAAAAUUUUUCCUCAAAUAAUUUUAUUGUAAUCCAUCUCUACUUCAAUAAGCUGCACCUUGAUCUGAUUUUUGAUAUAAUAAAAUAUCCUAAUUAUAUAUUUCAAAAAAUAAUUAACAACGACGAUAUACAAGCAAAAUUUAAGUUUUAUUAAUCGUGGAUUAUCGAUUACAGGACAGAUUCCCCUGAUUGGAAUAAAAAACCGCCAAAUUUUUUGACUUUAAAGAACAUAACUAAUAUUCAUCAAGUCUUUCUAUUUCUACAUCUAGAAUAAUGGGGUAUCUAAUCCCAGUUUAAAAUCUAGAUUUCUUAACUUCAUAAACAAAAAUUCAGUUUAAUAGAAAAUAAGAUUUCACCCAAUAUUAACUAAAACAAAAAUCAAAUUUUUAUUAACUAAGUACAACUGUUAUAAAAUAGUAGCAUUAUUUGUUUAACCGCA